UCUCAGCACCCAGUCAAAUGCCAGAAGUGACUCAUACACAGGCCACCAGUGGCACUCAGCUGUACCACUGCACUGCUGCUGAAAUUGCCAGCACCAGCGGCUUUGUAACAGCUGUUUCACAGCAUCUCGGAGACAAUGCCUACGAAAUUAUUGGCCCUGAUGACGAGAGCCCUCAAGGGGCAAACGACAUCUCUGUUGCAGAAGUGAGCCCGAUACCACCUUAAUUUAGCAUGACAGAUGACACGGCUGCAAUAGAUACAGAGACUGCCGUGUCUACUGCAGCUGCAACAGUGUACGAGGCAAGCUGCAGCACGUCAGCAUCAGCAGUAGUGUCAGAAGGAACCGCACCAGGCCUGGUAGGGCAACUUGUGUGCUACCACUGUGACUUUUUUUGUAGUGCAUACACCUCAUUGUUGUUGAUGUUGUU